GUUGAACGCUGGCGGCAGGCCUAACACAUGCAAGUCGAGCGGAAACGAGUUAUCUGAACCUUCGGGGAACGAUAACGGCGUCUAGCGGCGGACGGGUGAGUAAUGCCUAGGAAAUUGCCCUGAUGUGGGGGAUAACCAUUGGAAACGAUGGCUAAUACCGCAUGAUGCCUACGGGCCAAAGAGGGGGACCUUCGGGCCUCUCGCGUCAGGAUAUGCCUAGGUGGGAUUAGCUAGUUGGUGAGGUAAGGGCUCACCAAGGCGACGAUCCCUAGCUGGUCUGAGAGGAUGAUCAGCCACACUGGAACUGAGACACGGUCCAGACUCCUACGGGAGGCAGCAGUGGGGAAUAUUGCACAAUGGGCGCAAGCCUGAUGCAGCCAUGCCGCGUGUGUGAAGAAGCCUUCGGGUUGUAAAGCACUUUCAGUCGUGAGGAAGCGGGUACGUUAAUAGCGUAUUCGUUUGACNUUAGCGACAGAAGAAGCACCGGCUAACUCCGUGC
rnacentral:rRNA from 1 species